GACGAACGCUGGCGGCGUGCUUAACACAUGCAAGUCGAGCGGUAAGGCCCUUUCGGGGGUACACGAGCGGCGAACGGGUGAGUAACACGUGGGUGACCUGCCCUCAGCUCUGGGAUAAGCCCGGGAAACUGGGUCUAAUACCGGAUAUGACUUCAUGACGCAUGUUGUGGAGUGGAAAGCCUUGUGCGGCUGAGGAUGGGCCCGCGGCCUAUCAGCUUGUUGGUGGGGUGANGGCCUACCAAGGCGACGACGGGUAGCCGGCCUGAGAGGGCGACCGGCCACACGUGGGACUGAGAUACCGGCCCAGACCUCCGUACGGGAGGCAGCAGGU
rnacentral:rRNA from 1 species